rnacentral:rRNA from 1 species
GGUUAAGCGACUAAGCGUACACGGUGGAUGCCCUAGCAGUCAGAGGCGAUGAAGGACGUGCUAAUCUGCGAUAAGCGUCGGUAAGGUGAUAUGAACCGUUAUAACCGGCGAUUUCCGAAUGGGGAAACCCAGUGUGAUUCGUCACACUAUCAUUAACUGAAUCCAUAGGUUAAUGAGGCGA